rnacentral:lncRNA from 1 species
ACAGAAAGAAACAAGAAUGUGUCCUCAGUACACGAAUGCCCCACUCGCACUAUCAUUUUCUAUGUUCAGUGGACCGUGAAGUUGGGGUAAAAUCUCUAAUUUGGCAUUAAAAUUAGAAAGAUCAUAUCAUAGGGAACAUGUGUACCAAGUUUGAAGUUGAUUGGACUUCAACUUCAUCAAAAACUACCUCGACCAAAAACUUUAACCUGAAGCGGGACAGACGGACGAACGGACGAACGAACGGUACGACGGACGAACGAACGGACGCACAGACCAGAAAACAUAAUGCCCCUCUACUGUCGUAGGUGGGGCAUAAAAACAAUAAUUAAAUCUGUAAAAAAAAAAAUUCACAUAUAUUUAGUACUCAGUAAUAAAAAUAAGUGACUCUAGGCAAUGCCACAAGCACUCAUCUCAGAAAAAUAAUAAUCCUAUAUAUAAAGGUAUAUACACCAAAAAAAUCUGAGACAAGUGCCUGUAACUGCCUGUGGUCAAUGCACAUUGUUAACAAUGACCACUCUUCAACUUUAUAGACUAGGAUAUAACUCUUGAAAAAGAUAUCUUUUUUUUUAACUUGCUGAUAUUUUUGUUUUUGUUUAGAAUUUCUCUGUUUAGUCCUUAUUAAAAGUGCAAUAACUCCAAAAAGGAGUUGACUUGACAAUUUCAGCUUGUUUGACUUGUUUAUAGAUCUUGUCUUUUUGGACAUUUAUGUUUACAUAGUUUUCUAUAGCUACUUAGCUUUUGUAAAAAAAGAAAAAAACAUCAUUAAAGGCAUUUACUCAUGUUGUCAUCUGUCACAGAUUUUUGCUAUUUGGCAUAAUUGUAGGCAAUAUGUACAAUGUCAACUGAGGACCACAUCUGGGUGCAGGAUAUUUUUUUAAAGACCCAUGAUUGAUGGCCUUCAGCUAGAUAGCACUCUGUUGGUCUCUUUUAAAUAUUCCCCAUUUCCUUUCUCAAUUUUAUUGUUGUGCUGUUCAGUUUCUCUCUAUAAAUGGCAAUACAUCCUGUGAGUAGUCAUCUAAUUCUUGUGUCUGUGUUGACUUAUCUAUCAUUAUUUAGUAUAUGUCUUGCUUAUCAGUUUUCUCCCUAAUAUUUUUCUUUAGCUGUUAUAGUUUUUGAGAAACUCCUAUGACAUGUCAUUUUACUGUAUGUUUGGUACUUUGAGCAUAUGAUCCUCCAGGUUUAAUGUCUUGUAUCACAGACUUGUGGAUAUAUAACUGUAUAUUAUAUCCUAUUAGGUACAUGUAGCAGCAUUUUGAGUACUUUGCUGAUUAGCAUAAUAACCCUUUUUUCCUGAGAAUUAUACAUGCCCCUGAAAAUUAAAUUCAACAAGAGUGCAAGUACUGAAAUGUCAUCCCUGCAUUACUUGUCAUGAUUGAAAUUAUGUUGAAAGUUUGUUACAUAGUAGUAUGUAGGUUAUAAUACCACAAAUAUCACGUAAACUUAAUAUUAUUAAGGAUACAUAAAAGCAGGUCACGGUCAGAUGAACCCUGCCAUACAGGCAUGCCCCCUCACUUCAUUUCAUACACCAUAUGGAGUGGCCCAAUAGUAGCAAGAAGACCAAACCAGAAAAUAUUCACAUUGUCAAAGAACCAUGAGAAAAAAGUCAAGGUCAGAUUCUAGACAAAUACUGUUGAAGUUUGUAGGGUUGCCUAUAAUUGCUUACAUACCGGUACACUUUAUUUGAAUUUCAGUGGAUAGCUGUCUCAUUGGCAAUCAUGCCCCAUCUCCUUAUUUUCAUAUGUACACCUUACAAUCUUGGUCAAGGUCAGAUGACCAGUCACACAUGUAUACCUUUAAAUCAUUCCAUUCUCUAAAUAUUGUUGAAAUAUUUCUUGAAGAAUGACAAGUAUCUGAGAUAUAAGCUUGACCACAAAAACUCAAACUUUAUUUCUGAUCCAUGAAAUGAGAUUGAGGUCAAGUGAAUUUGGUUCAACGGAUAUCUACAGUAGACCUUUCAAGGAUCCAAAAAAUAUAGUAAUUAGUUUCAUUUAAAACAUGACAAACAAGAAUGUGUCCAUAGUACACAGAUGCCCCACUCGCACUAUCAUUUUCUGUGUUUAGAGGACCGUAAAAUUUGGGUAAAUACUCUAAUUUGGCAUUUAAAUUAGAAAGAUCAUGUCACAGGGAACAUGCAUGCUAAGUUUCAAGUUGAUUGGACUUCAACUUCAUCAAAAACUACCUUGACCAAAAACUUUAACCUGAAGCAGGAUAAACAGACAGAAGGACGAACAAACAGACGCACAGACCAGAAAACAUAA